AAAAGUCAGAGUAUCACCAAAGUCAACAGAAUUUUCUCCUCAUGGGAUCUCAAGAGUCUGAAGCAACAUUCAUGGCAAUCCAUCCAAUAGUAUAUUAGUUUAUUUUUAGAAGUAUAACAAGAACUUUGUUUAACACCCAUAUUUGAUUUGAUUAUUUAUAGACAAGAACAAAUUACUAGCUGUGGUGGCCAGCAUGAAAGAGGUGAAGAUAUUGAUCCCAAAACUGGACAUUGCGAAGUUGAAGGAUCCAGCUCACAUUUCCAGGUUAUCAUCUGCGGCUAACUCUGUCAAGCAGCCACUGAAAGAUCAGCCCGUGCGUGUUGCAAACAACCAGAGUCCAACAACGUUCACAAACACAGAAGACAAGACGAAGCCGAGCGAUGCAAAGACCAUUCAGAUGACCUGCUCGCGCUGUAAGAAAAGCAUGAUGAAGGGUCAAACGGCUUUCCAGAAGAAAGGAUUCACAGACGUCUUCUGCUCCAAAAACUGCCUGUUUGAAAUAUUUCCCAUCAACAAACCAGCCGCCAAGACCUGCCAUUACUGUCAAAAGUGAGUCUGUGAAAACUAUCUUGAUUAUGUCAUCAUAUCCAUCUGAGUAAACAUUGUCUUUGUGUCAAAAGCUGAUAGUGUAACAAACUGUUUAUCAUCUCACCUGCUUGUUCUGUCAGGACGAUAUCGCAGCUUCAGGACCUCAUCAUGGCUGCAGUGGACACUAAGGGAACGAUGAAGGACUUCUGCAGUGUGACCUGUUUGUGCUCUUUUAAAUCCAAACCUGAGUCCAGCCAAACGUCACCAUCGGUCUGCAGCAAGUGCUCCAAGUCCUGCACUAUCACAUGUGAGUUCACACUGUACGAAGUUGUCUACAAGUUUUGCAGCGGCUCCUGCUUUGACGACUUCCGUAGGGACAACACGGACAUCUGUGAGAACUGCAGCACCACCUGCACCAAAAAACCACUAAAGCUGAAGCUGGAGGAGGAGACCAUAACCAUCUGCAGUGGCACGUGUCUGGACAAGUUCAUUGAGAAUAAAGACACGCCCUGUCGGUGCACCACCUGCCACAUUUCUCAACCAUGUUCAGACAUGGUUCAUGACAAAAGCAGUGAGAACAUUGUGGAGCUCUUCUGCACUCGCAGCUGUGCGACGUCAUACAGACUCGCAGUUGAAUACAAGCUUCAUGGUAAGAGAGACGAGAUAGCUUCGUUUUUUUCUUGA
rnacentral:lncRNA from 1 species